UACAGAGGUCCCAAGCGUUAUUCGGAAUUACUGGGCGUAAAGCGUACGCAGGCGGCUUUGCAAGACAGGUGUGAAAUCCCCGGGCCUAACCUGGGAACUGCAUUUGUGACUGCAUCGCUAGAGUCUGUCAGAGGGGGGUGGAAUUCCACGUGUAGCAGUGAAAUGCGUAGGGAUGUGGAAGAACACCGAUGGCGAAGGCAGCCCCCUGGGAUGAGACUGACGCUCAUGUACGAAAGCGUGGGGAGCAAACAGG
rnacentral:rRNA from 1 species